rnacentral:rRNA from 1 species
UACGUAGGGUGCAAGCGUUAAUCGGAAUUACUGGGCGUAAAGCGUGCGCAGGCGGUGAUGUAAGACAGAUGUGAAAUCCCCGGGCUCCAACCUGGGAACUGCAUUUGUGACUGCAUCGCUGGAGUGCGGCAGAGGGGGAUGGAAUUCCGCGUGUAGCAGUGAAAUGCGUAGAUAUGCGGAGGAACACCGAUGGCGAAGGCAAUCCCCUGGGCCUGCACUGACGCUCAUGCACGAAAGCGUGGGGAGCAAACAGG